GACGAACGCUGGCGGCGUGCUUAACACAUGCAAGUCGAACGGAAAGGCCCUGCUUGCAGGGUACUCGAGUGGCGAACGGGUGAGUAACACGUGGGUGAUCUGCCCUGCACUUCGGGAUAAGCCUGGGAAACUGGGUCUAAUACCGGAUAGGAGCCAUUUUUAGUGUGAUGGUUGGAAAGUUUUUUCGGUGUAGGAUGAGCUCGCGGCCUAUCAGCUUGUUGGUGGGGUAAUGGCCUACCAAGGCGGCGACGGGUAGCCGGCCUGAGAGGGUGGACGGCCACAUUGGGACUGAGAUACGGCCCAGACUCCUACGGGAGGCAGCAGCGGGGAAUAUUGCACAAUGGGCGCAAGCCUGAUGCAGCGACGCCGCGGGGGGGAUGACGGCCUUCGGGUUGUAAACUCCUUUCGCUAGGGACGAAGCUUUUUGUGACGGUACCUAGAUAAGAAGCACCGGCUAACUACGUG
rnacentral:rRNA from 1 species